AUAUCACUAAGCGGAGGAAAAGAAACUAACCAGGAUUCCCCUAGUAACGGCGAGUGAAGAGGGAAAAGCCCAGCACCGAAGCCUGUGGCAGCUUUGCUAUUAGGCAAUGUGGUGUUUAGGUCGGCUCGCGGGAUCGCCACUCCACUCGAAGUCCAGCCUUGAUUAUGGUUGCCAGGAAUUGGCCCAUAGCGGGUGAUAGGCCCGUACGGGUGGAGGUGUCAGAUGUGUAAGGCGAUUCACCAGGCCGGCCUUAGAGUCGGGUUGUUUGCGAAUGCAGCCCAAAGUGGGUGGUAAACUCCAUCCAAGGCUAAAUACUAGCACGAGUCCGAUAGCGAACAAGUACCGUGAGGGAAAGUUGAAAAGUACUUUGAAGAGAGAGUAAACAGUACGUGAAACCGCAUAGAGGUAAACGGGUGGCGUCAAGCUGCAAGCCCAGAGAAUUCAGUCGGUCAGGGUGUGGUGUCUGCGCCCAGCGUAGCUAUCAGUCGGUGCAAACGGACUGGUCCGCCGGUAGAUGGCGGGCCCAGCUGUCACAGGCUGGGAUUUGCGUGCCGAGUGUUAGUCGGAGCAAGCUAGUCAUCCGUGGGACUGCCUGGCCGAUGCACUUUCUCUGUGGUGAACACCACGACCGGUGGAACUGCCAGUCUACCUUAGCCAGCUUCGUGACACGCUCCGGUCUUUAUGGUCGGAGCGGGUGGCGAUCACAGGCAAUUUCAGUGCACGGUGCUUGCGGGUCUCCGCCCGUAGGCAUGCUAUCGGGAACUGGUUGUCAACGGGUCGGCCUGGACACUGUCCUGUAGUCGCAGUGUGCAUUCUGGGUGACUCGGUGGGCUAUGGCGGCAGGAGAAGCUGUGCAGGGCACCGGAGAUGUCGGUCUGUUUACGACGGCCGCACACGCACUACAGCUUGGCGUGUGCCAUGCAGGGCACUGAUAGCGUUGCCAGGGUCUGCCAACACCCGGGUCUGAUCAUCGUGUCGCCUGUCAAAAUGACGGGUCCGGUGGUGGCCUGGAGUUGGAUGGUGCCUGUGGGCAGCGUGGUCACGGUGCGGCCGUGCUGAGAGACCAGAUAGUCAGUGGUGUAGUGGUAGACGAGCUACCCGACCCGUCUUGAAACACGGACCAAGAAGUUCAACAUGCGCGCGAGUCAUGGGGUCUUACGAAACCCAAAGGCGCAAUGAAAGUGAAGCCUUGCUGUGUGUGCGCGUCUGUGCCCUGCCUUCUCACGAGGGCGGGCAUGCGCGUGCGCCUGCAAGGUGUGGUGAGAUCCCGCUGUUUCUCGCAGGCACUUGUGUGACGAGGACCGGCAGCUGGGACUAGCUCCAUGUGUUGUUGUCUUUCGUGCAACACACAACUAGACGAGCAGCGGGCGCAUCACCGGCCCGUCCCAUGAUGUGGCUAUUGGUUUUCAGCGGCGGUUGGGCAACUGACUGCCUGUCUGGCCGGUACGUCAUCGGGGCGGAGCAUGAGCGCGCAUGUUGAGACCCGAAAGAUGGUGAACUAUGCUUGCGUAGGUUGAAGCCAGAGGAAACUCUGGUGGAGGACCGCAGCGAUUCUGACGUGCAAAUCGAUCGUCAAACGUGAGCAUAGGGGCGAAAGACUAAUCGAACCAUCUAGUAGCUGGUUCCCUC
rnacentral:rRNA from 1 species